CCCAGGUGUCAGGGUUAGUUGACACUGUUGGUCUUCCUGUGGGGUUGCCAUCCCUUGAGUUCCUUCAGUCCUUCCCCUAACUCUCCCAUGGGGUGCUAUUCGCUCACAUUAUUCUGUCCUUUGCAGUUUAUUGGGAAAUACAGCCAGUGUUUGCCAGAAGCACUUGUUCCUACAGUUGACUCCUGAAGGACAAGCAGCCGAUGGGUCUAAUUGCAGAGCUCUCCUUGGCUCCUUUGCCUUUUUGAUUGAAAGUUCAUUACAUAUGCAGCAUCUCAGUGAGUGUAUUACAUAAUCUCACCAACUGAAUCUCAGAAAACCCUACAGUUCAGAUGUCAUCAAUCUUAUAUAAGAAAAAACCCAUCACCGUUUUUGAAAGUACUGAAAACUAGUAAAAGAUUCACUCUCAGACCUCACUCACAAAGCCUAGCCUCUUUAAUGAUUCUCAUACUGAAAAAAAAAUUCUUUUCUGAGUUACUUUGGAUUGAAAUACACCAAAAAUAGACUACACUGAUACUCAAACAAAUAAUUAUUGGAGAGGUAGGUUUUGUUAUUUAAAAGCUUAUAUACAUUCAAUGUUCCUUAAGUUUUUCCAAUAUUUUAUUAUGAACAUUUUCAAAUAUACAGAAAUGUUGAAGAAACUAUGUAGUGAACACCUAUAUAUCACCACUUACAGCAAGCAAUAUUUUAUUAUAUUGACUUUCAUAUAUUACUAUGCAAUUAUCUGUUAUUUAUGUUGAUCAAUAUGUCUUAUAUUUUGAUAUUUUAAAGUAAUUUACAGGUAUAGGUCUUACACAAGUGUAUAGACUGUAUGUGCCCAUGUAUAUGAACUUUAGUACUCAUAUUCACCAAGUAUAAUAUAUAAUAUUUAUUUACAUUUUAGGUAUAAUUUACAUGAAAAGGAAUGAGCAAAUCUUAAAUGUGCCACUUGAGUUUUGAGAACAGCAUGCACCUAUGUGAGCCACACUGUGUCAGGAUUUAGUACAGUUACAGUUAGAGAGCUUCUCAUUGCUCAUGAUGGCUGGUAUUCUUCACAGACUAGAGUUUCCUGUCCUAGAUGGCAUAAGUGCCCACUCCUAAGCUAGCACUGAGAGAACUGUAGAAUCUGUCCUCAGACCUACUCAUUCAUUCUUCUGCUAGUUUCUUCAUGAAGCAAAUGGACUCAGUGACCCUUCUCAAAGCCAUUCCUUUCCACUGCCAUGAUGGCGCCCUUCUCUAAUGGAUUACACUUCUUAAGAGAUCUCUUCUGUGUGAAAUAAAGAACAUUGUAGGGCUCUGGCGCCUGGUGCUCUUCACAGAGAUCUCUGGUCGGGCUAGGAGCUCAGGUUCGGGGGAGGGGGGAAGAACUCAGGGAGAGGGGACUGCUUCUGCUGCCCCCCCUACCGGUACUUUUCCUUUGUGCCGCUGCCACUUGGGUUGCUUGGCGAGGUCUGAGCCAGCAGGGGACUAACAAGCUGGCCAAGGGUAUAGGGGAGCUUCUGGCAGCAAUUUCGGGAGAGCAGAUCUCUUCCUGAAGCGGUGGUGUUACAGCUCUUAUGACAGAAGCUCUCAGACGAUGGAAUAUUCCCUGCGCACCUUUAAUUCUGAACAUAAUAGUUAAAUAGGUUUUUGGAUGGGUCAGUGUCCGACAGCAGGUAUUCCUAUUGGUUUGGCCUGAGAGCUUAGGAAGACCUCAUCUACAUAUUCAGGGCGUGGACCUUUCUCUAUGACUGAUCUGUCUUGAGCCUAUGUGACCUGUGGUCACAUCCUCACCUGUGGAGGAGGGGCUUGGGGCACUGCUUUUAUGAGACUGGUCUGUCUCAAAACCUCUCUACAGGGGUUUGUGGGGGGCUACAGCUAGUGACACCCUGAUCUGAGAGGCUGGGAAUGUGCCUGCCAUCCCUUUUAGGGUCCCCCAGGGAUUCAACCUGUCUCGACCAGGAAUCAGGGUACCUUUCACUGCCUGUCACCCCACAGAAUAUGAUAAAUGUGUAACCUACCACAGACUCUCUUUACAGACCUCUUUAGCCUGCACAUCUGUGUGCUGCAUGUGUACUACAUGCAUGAUGCCUGGAGCCCACAGAUGCCCUGGAAUUGGAAAGUUGUGAGCACUGUGUGCGAGUGCUAGAAAUCAAACCGUGCUCCUUCGGGAGAGUAAUUGGUGCUCUUAACCACGGAGCAAUUUCCGCAUCUCCUUUAGACUUCUUGAGCAUUUUUCUAUACCACUUUUUCCCUUUUCUAGAAAAGAAAUAGGGAUAUUAGUUAGCAAUACAAACCCAUUCUUAUUUCACCUAUGUUAGGAAGAUAGACAAUUUUCUUUUAACACAUCUGUUUUUCAACCUGCUUCAUUUUUAUAACUGAAAUAUAAAACUGCCUUUGUUAAGAAGUAUUUCAUGUUCAAAAUAUCUAGAAUGUGUGUUACUAUUCUGUAUAAUCUCUAAUGGCUAAAUCAUAAAUGCUAAAUAAAUCCAAAUCUCUUUCUUGUAUUUUCUCACCAUGUUAGAUAGUAUUGUAAGUCAACUGCAAAAUGCCUUAAAAAGAUUAAUCAACCUGGAAUAAAUCCUCUAAACUUAU
rnacentral:lncRNA from 1 species